GCCUCGGCAUCUGAUCUACCCAACCUGGGCCAACUCCGAACCAUGCACGGAAACACCAUCUCUUUCUCCUGCGGUCUUGCCCGGCCCGGGGCCUGGCUUAUGGCAUCGACCAGCUGCUGGAGCCACCUGACCUUGGUGCCCGCUGUGAUCGCUUUGAACCCCAGCCGCUUCAAACGUGUUGGCCUCCAUCUCCCCCAGAAGACUUGCAGCAUCUGUGGACUGGAGCCACCCUGUCCUCGGGGCUCACGGGAGCAGGGCAGCCCUGAGGCCUGCUGGCGUCACUACUCCAAGUUCUGGGCAACUCCUCUGCACUCCAUAACCAUGCGUGGAGGUUCCUGGAUAACGCCUAGUUUUUGGAACCGCAACCACAUGGGUAGGGGUUGCCACCGCAAAUGUGUCACCACCGUCUGGAAGCCUAGCUGUUGCCCUGGUCACUAUGGCGCUGACUGCCAUGCUUGCCCCGGUGGUCCCAGAAGCCCCUGCAGUGGCCACGGUGUGUGCCUGGAUGGCAUAAGCGGAAGUGGGCAGUGCAAUUGUCAUCCGGGUUUUGCCGGGACAGCGUGUGAACUCUGUGCCCCGGGUGCCUUCGGACCCCAGUGCCAAGCAUGCCGCUGUGCCCCACAUGGGCGUUGCGAUGAAGGUCUCGGGGGCUCUGGCUCCUGCUUCUGCGAUGAGGGCUGGACUGGGCCACGCUGUGAUGUGCAGCUGGAGUUGCAGCCCGUGUGCACCC
rnacentral:lncRNA from 1 species